rnacentral:rRNA from 1 species
UGCUUGCACCUUUAAAAUUUUAGCGGCGGACGGGUGAGUAACACGUGGGUAACCUACCUUAUAGAUUGGGAUAACUCCGGGAAACCGGGGCUAAUACCGAAUAAUACUUUUUAACACAUGUUUGAAAGUUGAAAGACGGUUUCGGCUGUCACUAUAAGAUGGACCCGCGGCGCAUUAGCUAGUUGGUGAGGUAACGGCUCACCAAGGCAACGAUGCGUAGCCGACCUGAGAGGGUGAUCGGCCACACUGGGACUGAGACACGGCCCAGACUCCUACGGGAGGCAGCAGUAGGGAAUCUUCCACAAUGGACGAAAGUCUGAUGGAGCAACGCCGCGUGAGUGAAGAAGGAUUUCGGUUCGUAAAACUCUGUUGCAAGGGAAGAACAAGUAGCGUAGUAACUGGCGCUACCUUGACGGUACCUUGUUAGAAAGCCACGGCUAACUACGUGCCAGCAGCCGCGGUAAUACGUAGGUGGCAAGCGUUGUCCGGAAUUAUUGGGCGUAAAGCGCGCGCAGGUGGUUCCUUAAGUCUGAUGUGAAAGCCCCCGGCUCAACCGGGGAGGGUCAUUGGAAACUGGGGAACUUGAGUGCAGAAGAGGAUAGUGGAAUUCCAAGUGUAGCGGUGAAAUGCGUAGAGAUUUGGAGGAACACCAGUGGCGAAGGCGACUGUCUGGUCUGUAACUGACACUGAGGCGCGAAAGCGUGGGGGAGCAAACAGGAUUAGAUACCCUGGUAGUCCACGCCGUAAACGAUGAGUG